rnacentral:rRNA from 1 species
GCACCCUCGCCUUUAGUUGCCAGCAUGUUUGGGUGGGCACUCUAAAGGAACUGCCGGUGACAAGCCGGAGGAAGGUGGGGAUGACGUCAAGUCCUCAUGGCCCUUAUGUCCUGGGCUACACACGUGCUACAAUGGCGGUGACAGUGGGAAGCCAUGUGGCGACGCCGAGCUGAUCUCUAAAAGCCGUCUCAGUUCGGAUUGCACUCUGCAACUCGAGUGCAUGAAGUUGGAAUCGCUAGUAAUCGCGGAUCAGCAUGCCGCGGUGAAUACGUUCCCGGGA